CCUACGGGAUGCAGCAGUGGGGGAUAUUGCACAAUGGAGGAAACUCUGAUGCAGCGACGCCGCGUGAGUGAAGAAGGCAUUCGGAUUGUAAAGCUCUGUCAUCGGGGAAGAAAAUGACGGUACCUAAAUACGACGCCCCGGCUAACUCCGUGCCAGCAGCCGCGGUAAUACGUAGGGGGCGAGCGGUGUCCGGAAUUACUGGGUGUAACGGGAGCGUAGGCGGGGGGGCAAGUCUGGAGUGAAAGCCUGCGGCUCAACCGGGUGACGGCGUUGGAAACUGUACGGCUGGAGGGCAGUAGAGGCGAGUGGAAUUCCUAGUGUAGCGGUGAAAUGCGUAGAUAUUAGGAGGAACACCAGUGGCGAAGGCGGCCUACUGGACUGUAACUGACGCUGAGGCUCGAAAGCGUGGGGAGCAAACAGGAUUAGAUACCCUAGUAGUC
rnacentral:rRNA from 1 species